rnacentral:rRNA from 1 species
UACGAAGGGGGCUAGCGUUGCUCGGAAUCACUGGGCGUAAAGCGCACGUAGGCGGAUUCCUAAGUCGGGGGUGAAAUCCUGGAGCUUAACUCCAGAACUGCCUUCGAUACUGGGAAUCUUGAGUCCGGAAGAGGUGAGUGGAACUGCGAGUGUAGAGGUGAAAUUCGUAGAUAUUCGCAAGAACACCAGUGGCGAAGGCGGCUCACUGGUCCGGUACUGACGCUGAGGUGCGAAAGCGUGGGGAGCGAACGGG